CCUUAAACAAUCGAAAACGAAGAGAUCAAUCUCUCUCUCUCUCUCUGAAAAAAGUAAAAAGAAAUCCUCCAAUGGGUCCCUUUCCCAAAUCCCUAACUUUCCUUCAAGUUCCUGCACUUUUCAUUGCUUUCUUCCUCUUUCUCUCUACUCUCUUCCCAUUUUUCGCAGCAUCCCAGCUGUCCAUCUACGACCACCUCCACCAAAACGGCCUCCCCAUUGGCCUCCUCCCUAAGGGCAUUACCGACUUUUCAGUCGAGCCCACCACCGGUCACUUCCAGAUAAAUCUAACCCAACCUUGCAAUGCCAAAUUCGA
rnacentral:misc_RNA from 1 species